rnacentral:rRNA from 1 species
UCCGUAGGUGAACCUGCGGAAGGAUCAUUACCGAGUGAGGGCCCUCUGGGUCCAACCUCCCACCCGUGUUUAUUUUACCUUGUUGCUUCGGCGGGCCCGCCUUAACUGGCCGCCGGGGGGCUUACGCCCCCGGGCCCGCGCCCGCCGAAGACACCCUCGAACUCUGUCUGAAGAUUGUAGUCUGAGUGAAAAUAUAAAUUAUUUAAAACUUUCAACAACGGAUCUCUUGGUUCCGGCAUCGAUGAAGAACGCAGCGAAAUGCGAUACGUAAUGUGAAUUGCAAAUUCAGUGAAUCAUCGAGUCUUUGAACGCACAUUGCGCCCCCUGGUAUUCCGGGGGGCAUGCCUGUCCGAGCGUCAUUGCUGCCCUCAAGCACGGCUUGUGUGUUGGGCUCCGUCCUCCGAUCCCGGGGGACGGGCCCGAAAGGCAGCGGCGGCACCGCGUCCGGUCCUCGAGCGUAUGGGGCUUUGUCACCCGCUCUGUAGGCCCGGCCGGCGCUUGCCGAUCAACCCAAAUUUUUAUCCAGGUUGACCUCGGAUCAGGUAGGGAUACCCGCUGAACUUAAGCAUAUCAAUAAGCGGAGGAA